GACGGACCGUGCAAACGUUAUUCGGAUUCACUGGGCUUAAAGGGCGCGUAGGCGGGCCAUCAAGUCAGGGGUGAAAUCUUUCGGCUCAACCGGAAAAGUGCCUUUGAUACUGGUGGUCUCGAGGGAGGUAGGGGCAUGCGGAACUUCCGGUGGAGCGGUGAAAUGCGUAGAUAUCGGAAGGAACGCCGGUGGCGAAAGCGGCGUGCUGGACCUCUUCUGACGCCGAUGCACGAAAGCUAGGGGAGCAAACAGG
rnacentral:rRNA from 1 species